CAGAGCUCCACCCACUUCUCUGCAAGCAGCCCCUGCGUGUCCAAUCCCGUCUGCAGCGCUGGACUGGCAGAGCCCUCCCACCCAGCUGGGCCACCAGCCCCAACCCCUGCCAGCCCAGUGACCCAGAGCGGCCGGUGGCAGGAGGGGGCUGCUGAGGCUCUGAUGGCAGAGGAACAGGGCUGGAGGCUCCCGCGGCGCGCAGCCCCCGCCCAGAAGGACCCUCGCAGCAGGGACCAGCUGGUGAAAUCUCGCUAUAGGUGAUGCUGACCCUGGGCAGCGGCUCUAGAAGGGCUCCGCGGUUGCCUGCUUGGCCCCUCCUCCCUCCGGCCGCUCCACCCUCGGAGCCCCUCUUCCUGGAGCCCCGGCUCCCCCUCCACUUCAUGGUUUGCAUCAGAGUCGUCCUGUUUCGACACCGAGUCACUUGGCCUUUGCCGCUCAUCAUCACACAGCCACUGACAGAACUGUCCGAUGACCAUCUACUUACACGCGUGUUGUUAACUGAGCACCUGCUCCGCGUGGGUGUCAGAAGGCCCUUGCACGGAGGAGGAAACCGAGGCUUUCAGCGGUCGUGAGACUCACUGUGGGGCCCACCCACUGCCCAGACUGGACGCCCACAUCCCACGGGUCCUCAAUCCCUUCUGCUAAUUCCUCCCAAACCCCUCUCCCCAUCACCACUGGUGUCCUGUCUGUGCCACCUCUCAGGGGCCGCUCUGGCCCUUAACCCAUUCUCCGCACAGCAGCCUGAGGGAUUGUCU